GUCUAUGGCCAUGCCACCCUGAACAAGCCCAAUCCCAUCUGAUCUUGAAAGCUAAGCAGGAACGGGUCUGGUUAGUACUUGGAUGGGAGACCACCUAGGAAGACCAGGUGCUGUAGGUG
rnacentral:rRNA from 1 species